UGUCCGCUUGUGCUGCUGCCGUUCCCCCCGCCGCGCCCACCCUACCUCAGCGCCUCCACGCGCGGCGUCCCCUACACCCUGCCCGCCCGCUCGCGUGGCCGCCGCCCCACCGCGCCGGCGCAGCGCCACCGAGGGCUCGGAGUGCUCGCGGUCCACCGCGCCUCAGUCGCGCUCGGAGCGCAUCUUUCGGGCGUGGCACACUUCUUCCCGACGGCGAGAUCCGCGACGGGCGGCAGCAGUCAAGUGGCGAAGAUACAAAUGGAUUAGAGACCUGUGUAUGAGAGUUUGAAUUAGCUGCAAGACAGUCUUUCAAAUUUUGGACCUUAGGAGAUUUUCUUGAACUACCUGUUGGUUGUCAUUGCAGAGCAUCACUGAACCUGAUGUGUUGGAGUUCAGAAGUCCUGGACUAUGGCAGUCUGUAUUUUUUCAGAAGUGCUGGACCAAACGUCUGUUGCCUCUCUAUGACUGAUCGGCUGGUGACGUUAAUCUCGAUGUAGGGUGAGGUGGUGGUGAUGUGACGACACAGUUCUGGAAAUCGAUUACAAAUGCAAAGGAGUGGUGUAUCUCAACUCCAAAGUUCGUAUUUUUAAGCAACCACACAUUGUUUAGCAAAAGGAAUGGUGCCUCAGUUGAAGUCUAUUGUCUA